GUGCUCGCUUCAGAGCACAUAAACUAAAAUUAGAAUACAGAGAAGAUUAACAUGGCCCUUGCGCAAGGGUGGCAUGCAGAUUCAUGAAGCAUUCUAUAUAUUU
rnacentral:snRNA from 1 species